AUUCUCUCCCUCCUUCCCCGCUGCCUUCGUUAAAAUUUUCCCCAAACCCCGUCCCCGCACCCCAAUCUUCCCUGCUUCGUGUUCGUGGAGCAUCUCUUCCAGCUGCAUUCAUCAAAUUUUCCCCCAAACCCUUUCCCCGCACCAUAAUCUUCCCCUGCUUCGUGUUCGUGGAGUGUCUUCCCCUGCUUGGGUUGAGUGUCGAGGUCGAGGUGGCAAGGUUGAGGCGGCAAGGUCGAGGCAGCAAGGUCGAGACGGCAAGGUCGAGACGGCAAGGUGGAGGUGGUGGCGUCGAGGACUCUGCUGAAGGCGAUUUUUAUCAAACUGAAGGCGGAGAUGGCGGAUUGUUUCGUCGUGGCUAAGGAGAAAUGUGCUGGCUUCCCAGGGAGAAUUGGUUCCCUUUAGGGCUGCAAGGAUUAAGGUUGCGAAAGGGGUUUUGAGUUCCAAGGGUGUUGGGAAGCUGAUUGGUUGGGGAUUGGUGCCUGUGAGUAGGAGGAACAUGUGAUUGAUGAAUCAAAUGGGUCUGAUUGGUGGUGAUUUGGGAAAAAAAUGUUUCUAUCAGAGCAUUCUAGCAAGGUUCAUCAACAGAUACCAAUAUACGGUGAAGUUGAGAAACGAUAUACUCAUGAUCCACUACUUUCUCAGUUGGUUAAUGUUGACAAAAACACUGCUGAAAAACAAUGAGUAUUCGAACUAUGAAGAUCAAAACCAAGCUGAACUAGGAAAGGAAAAUCAGAGACCUACAUUCUGCAUUUAAUUCCUAACAUACACAAAGUACAAGAGGGCUGUGGCGGCAUUCUACAAUCUCACCGCUCAUUCAUUACCCCUUCUCAUAAAAGCUGCUAAUAUUAUAUGGACUCAAGAGAGGAGACAAGCAGAAUAUACACAACAUGGAGCUUUAAGAGUCAGAUUGAAGCUUUGACAGCAGAAAAUCAACGACUAAAUGGAAAGUUGGAAAAUGCUCUGGGCAAAAUAGAAGUGUUUCAUUUAGGUAAAGAUGAGUAAAGGGUUAGGGAAUUUGGUUGGAAGGUAGAAAGCAAGCAUGGAAGCUAAUGAAAAAGUAUAGUUGGCCUGAUUACUUCAUAUUCGCAAGGGUUCCGGCCACACACCUCCACAGUUGAAACCUGAUGAAUGUUUUGACAUGAUGGAUAUCUAAGAUGGCUUUGCUGGAAAUUAAAAUUCAAGGUCCGAAUUUUUACUAAUGUAAUUGUUAUUUUGACUAUAAGAAAUUUAUAUUUGAUAUUAUAAUAUUAUGAUUUUUUGGAUGAUAAUAUAAUAUUAUGGUUAUUAUCUAAACAUAUUUGAUUGUUAAGUAUUAUAGUCCUCGAUUUCAAAAGAAAACUAAUUCCAGUGUUGCUUCCCAUCAAUAAUUGGAUGAGGGAAUCAUCCUUCGAGUGAAGCUUUGAAUGUCGAAACAAAUAACGAGAAGUUGGAGCUUUCGGUGCAAGGUUACCUACAAGGAUACUAGUGGGUCAUCAAAGAAGAAAAAGAGAUCAAUAGUAAUAAAAGGGCUCACUCAACAACUCUGCUGGAAUUUACACUUUAGAACAUUUUAAUGGGAAUUUUUAAGUAAUUAUGUGAGGUUCCUAUUGUAUCAUAUGUUUUAAAGAGGACUUUAUUAGUUUAUAUGUUAGUUUAUUAGAAGGUGUAAUUAGGUAUAAAUGUAAAUCAUUAUUUGAAUAAUUUGUUGUAUUAAAACAUGUUUACUAUUUAUUUUAUAAUAUUCAAUUUUAA